AUUAUGACAAUUUUCUAUCUAAAUGUCUUGACCAAGUCACGUGCCAGCAGUCGCGGUAAUACGUGGAAGACUAGUGUUAUUCAUCUUUAAUAGGUUUAAAGGGUACCUAGACGGUAUUUCUAGCCCCAAAAGGGUACGGAUUUACUAGAGUUUUAUGUGAGAGGCAAAUAUUAGUACUAUUGGUGUAGAGAUGAAAUUCUUUGAUACUACUAGGACUGGUGGCGGCGAAAGCAACCCUCUAAGUAUAAACUGACGUUGAGGGACGAAGGCUUGGGUAGCGAAUAGGAUUAGAUACCCUAGUAGUCCAGGCAGAAAAUUAUGAGUGCCAUAGACUAGAUUAAAUAAUUUUGGUCUAUAAAUGAAAGUGUAAGCAUUCCACCUCAAGAGUAAUGUGGCAACGCAGGAACUGAAAUCAUUAGACCGUUUCUGAAACCAGUAGUGAAGUAUGUUAUUUAAUUCGAUAAUCCUCGAAAAACCUUACCACAAUUUGAAUGUAAUACAUGUAAUCUAAUAAUUGUCUAGUCAACAAUUACAUGUAUUAACACAAGCGUUGCACGGCUGUCUUCAGUUAAUGUCGUGAGAACUUGGUUAGAUCCAUUAAAUUAACGUAAUCCCUUUCUUUAUUUAUAUUAAUAAAGAAGUUCACCGCUAUAUUGGAUAUGAUAACAGGGAAUAAGACAAGUCAUCAUGACCUUAAUAUUGUGGGCUAUA
rnacentral:rRNA from 1 species